rnacentral:lncRNA from 1 species
ACCAUGGUAGGUUUACAUUGAUUGUUCUAUGCCUUGGUGCAAAGUUCAUGCUUAUAUGACUACUUCCUCUAGACGAUUUCUUUAGUAAUAGAUAAAAUAGAACAAUGUUGAUAUUUGCCUAAAGGAGUGGAAUUCAGGUUAGGGUCCCACAUACCUUGACAUAUUGUCCUUCUUAUAGCCCUAUAAUGGUGCUUGUUGUUGAUUUUAUUUUGGUAUCACCUAC